ACGAGUGAGAGAGAGAGAGAGUUCUGGAUCGGCUAGUGAAAUUGAGCCUUCUUCCCAAAGGAAUCAUCCAUCACACCAGAUGGCAGUAACAUAACCCAAGGUUUCACAAGCGGGGAGGUUCCUCACCACAGCCUGAUCAGCUAUCAUCCUGUCAUGCUAGAAUCAUCCACCUGCAGAGAAUGGCCUUCGAUAGCAGGGACUUGAUCUCCGAUCUUCAAGCAUACAAUGUCGCCUACAACGACUUCGUAGAUUGAGACCUCCUGCCCUGUUCCGUUUCUAACAACUUGUACUGAUAUAUUGUUGCUUAGUUUGGGGAGCUUGUCCCACAGCCUGAACUGCAUGAAGUUUUUGAAGGCGGAGAAGGCGAUGACGAGGAAGAUGGCGAUGAGUGUGUCCAAGCCUUCAUUGAGGCCGUGGUUUUUGAUCCCAAGGCCUAGAGAGAGAGCGGCUAAUACUAGUAGGAGUGGGAUGUUCUACUUUGCAUGGUGAGUUUGCCUUCAUCAUGAAUUAAUUAAGAGGCUUUGGUUGUGAUUCAGUACAUGAUAUCAACCUACAUAUAUAGAGAUGAUUUGGUUCAUAUAUUUGUUCACUGCAAUAUUUUAUUCAA